GACGAACGCUGGCGGCGUGCUUAACACAUGCAAGUCGAACGGUGAAGCUCCAGCUUGCUGGAGUGGAUCAGUGGCGAACGGGUGAGUAACACGUGAGCAACCUGCCCCUGACUCUGGAAUAAGCGCUGGAAACGGCGUCUAAUACCGGAUACGAGAAGGGCCCGCAUGGGCACUUUCUGGAAAGUUUUUCGGUUGGGGAUGGGCUCGCGGCCUAUCAGCUUGUUGGUGAGGUAAUGGCUCACCAAGGCGACGACGGGUAGCCGGCCUGAGAGGGCGACCGGCCACACUGGGACUGAGACACGGCCCAGACUCCUACGGGAGGCAGCAGUGGGGAAUAUUGCACAAUGGGCGAAAGCCUGAUGCAGCGACGCCGCGUGAGGGAUGACGGCCUUCGGGUUGUAAACCUCUUUCAGCAGGGAAGAAGCGAAAGUGACGGUACCUGCAGAAGAAGCACCGGCUAACUACGUG
rnacentral:rRNA from 1 species